AAAUACACAAGGAAAGCUCCAUGGAAGAUAAAGGCAGAGAUUUACAAGCCAAGGAAUGUCAAAGACGGCCAGCACACCACCAGAAGCUAGCAGAGAGGUAUGGAACAGAUUCUUCUUCACAACCUCAGAGGGAAAACCCUGCUGAUACCUGGAUUUCAAACUCCUGGCCUCCAGAACGAAGUCCCUGGAGAGAGGACGUGAUGUCUGAAGCUAUGGCAGCCAUCUUGUAACUAUGAGGCCACAAACAAGAAAAGCAAAAACCAGAGUGAAGCAUGGCAGAGCAGAAAGAUGGAAAGAACCUGGAUACAUAAGAGUGUCACUGUGCAGCUGUACCCACCCUAGACUGCAUAUACCUGGACUUUAACAUCUUGUUUGGACUUGUUUGUGAGCACCAAGGAGACACCUCUGGGGACUUACAGAUCUACUUGGACAGCACUUGACCAUGGACCUGCCCCCCAGCAGAUGGGGCAAGAGCCAGUGAAAUUUGGGUAUUUGACUGCAACCCUGUUUGUUCCCACAUGUAGAGGAGAUCUGGUGCAACUCCAGUUACUUGGAGCAGUAUAACAGCACAGCCACUGCUGUCGUAUCAACAUUUUUCGCUAGUCCUCUCUCAUGUGGGGCUUGUCUAUGGGGCAUGUUGGCAUUGGGAAGUCCUCAUUUCCUGAUUUACUGUCUCAUGAUGAGAUACCAAUCAAAGCUAAGAUACAAAGAACUCUUUGAAAAAUAGCCUUUUCAACUUGUCCACACACAAUCAGAAACAUACUGAUUUUGGAUUAACUCAUUAUUAAUGAUUUUGUCUAUUUUGAAAGAGGCUGCCCUGAACAAGGAGUCAGGAAUUGUAGGUCUUAGCUCCACUUUUGCUAUUAAGUUAUGCUGCAAACCUUAGAAUCUUCGCUGAGCAGUUCUCUGGGCCUCUCUUAAUCUGUAGACGAAGAAACAGAGGCAGAUGAAACACAUCUCAUCUAAUUUUGCAGACACGCUCAACCCUCUACACUACAAUAAAGGGUUAAAAAAGGACAUAAACCUAUAAAGAGGGGAGAAGAUUGGAAGAAGCUAAGAGAGACAAAAUUUAGGAGUCUGAAAGGCAUAUGAACAGGUAGUAAUCAAUUUAGCAAACUUGAGAGGAAAAUCCUGAGCUACCACUGGGAAAAGCAAAGAAAUAUAUAGCCAGGCAAAAACCUCUCCCCAUUCCAACAGAAGACUGGAGGAUUUUAUUUUUUUUCUCCCUGCGGAAAACACAGAACAGGAUGUGUGGACCCAGGGACACCAGAAGCAAUUGAGGUAAAAGAAAGAGAGGAAGUAAAUAUGUAUAUACUAGAUGCUAAGACACCUGUUCCUGCCAGAUGUCCCAGAAGGCUGACAGCCAGGCCUUUCUCCUCCAAGCAAGAAACUGGAAGCAUCUCCUAUAGGGAGUCUGACCAGCUCAAUAGCUUGCUGGUCAACAAGCUCUGCUCAAGUGCUUAAGUUUCCAGUCAGGGAUUUUUUUUUUUUUUUUUUUUUUUUUAAGACAGAGUCUUGCUCUGUUGCCCAGGCUGGAGUACAAUGGUGCAAUAACAGCUCACUGCAGCCUCAACCACCCAGGCUCAAGCCAUCUGAGCCUCUGAGUAGCUGGGACUACAGGUGUGUCACUGCACUUGGCUAAUUUUAAUUUUUUUUGUAGGGAUGGGGUCUCACUAGUAUUGCCCAGGCUGGUCUCGAACUCCUGGGCUCCAACAGUCCUCCUACCUCGGCCUCCAAAUAUGCUGGGAUUAUAGGUGUGAACCACCACACCUGGCCUCUAAUCAGUUUUCUAGUCUCCCACUCAAGCCUUAGUUGAGCAGACAAAUGAAGAUUUCCAAAAAUCUGAGGAAAACCUCCAGUAUAGAACAUGUAGACUACAAAGAGAAAAAGGCAGCCUGGAUGAAAACCGAGACUAAAAAGGGAGAAGAAACAAAAUUCAGGGCAAAACAAAAAACAUAAUCCUAAUAUCUUCAGGAAAAAAGAGAAAUUACAAUCAUGAAAAAAGGAAAGAUUGCUAAAAAAUAAAAUCUCAGCGAACAAAAAAAGAAUUCUUAUAAAACAUGGUAAUGGAAAUUAAAAACUCAGUGGAAGGAUUAGGAGAUGAAGUUGAGGAAAUCUCUCAGAAACUAGGACAGAAACAUAAAUAGAUGGGACUGAAGACAGAAAAGUAGAGAAAAUUGGAAGACAAAUCCAGGAUAUUCUGUAUGCAUAAAAGGAAUUAC
rnacentral:lncRNA from 10 species